rnacentral:rRNA from 1 species
CAAGGAAUCUUCCGCAAUGGGCGCAAGCCUGACGGAGCGACGCCGCGUGGGGGAGGACGCCUUUCGGGGUGUAAACCCCUUUUCUCGGGGAAGAACACAGACGGUACCCGAGGAAGAAGGACCGGCAAACUACGUGCCAGCAGCCGCGGUAAUACGUAGGGUCCGAGCGUUGUCCGGAGUUACUGGGCGUAAAGCGCGCGCAGGCGGUCAUGCGCGCCCGGCGUGAAAGCCCCCGGCUCAACCGGGGAGGGUCGUCGGGGACGGCAUGACUUGAGGGCGGUAGGGGCCGGUGGAAUCCCUGGUGUAGUGGUGAAAUGCGUAGAGAUCAGGGGGAACACCCGUGGCGAAGGCGGCCGGCUGGGCCGUCCCUGACGCUGAGGCGCGAAGGCGUGGGGAGCGAACGGG